rnacentral:rRNA from 1 species
GACGAACGCUGGCGGCGUGCUUAACACAUGCAAGUCGAACGGAAAGGCCCUGCUUUCAGGGUACUCGAGUGGCGAACGGGUGAGUAACACGUGGGUGAUCUGCCCUCCACUUCGGGAUAAGCCUGGGAAACUGGGUCUAAUACCGGAUAGGAGCCAUUUUUAUUGUGAUGGUUGGAAAGUUUUUUCGGGGUAGGAUGAGCUCGCGGGCUAUCAGCUUGUUGGUGGGGUAAUGGCCUACCAAGGCGGCGGCGGGUAGCCGGCCUGGGAGGGUGGACGGCCACAUUGGGACUGAGAUACGGCCCAAACUGCUACGGGAGGGAGCAGGGGGGAAUAAUGCACAAUGGGCGCAAGGCUGAUGCAGCGACGCCGCGUGGGGGAUGACGGCCUUCGGGUUGUAAAACCCUUUCGCUAGGGACGAAGCUUUUUGUGACGGUACCUAGAUAAGAAGCACCGGCUAACUACGUG